UUAUCUUUAGUUGUUACGUUGUCAGUCUACAGUCAGUUCCCAGUCAGAUCAAAACAUCUCAAGAAAUACUAAGUGCAAUCAAGUUAGUUUAUUGUCAGGACUUAAGAAGAUCUGACUAAUAGAAGAUGAGACUUUACAAGCAAGCGUUCUAGAAGCUAGAGACUUCAAAAAGAUUAGUAACAAAUAAAAGAAUAGCAUCUAGUACACAACAAUGAACAAGAAAACUGUAUUUUACACAUCCCCACCUUCCUCUCCAUCCUCGUCGUCAUCAUCAUCAUCAGCAUCAUCAUCAUCAUCAUCAUCUUCAGUAAAAGGUUCCUCUACAUCCACCCCAUUUCAUUCUACAUUGCAACACAGUGAUCCAAACAACAAGAGCCCUUCAAAAAACUUUGUAUUUAGUCCAUUUUCUUCCCGCUCCUCUCCCUACCCUCCCUGUCAACCCAUAGAGUCUAAAUCUAAUUUCUCGACCUCGCGACCUCCUGUAUUCGGUAUCUCUGCUAGAGAUCGAUUACUCCAGGAACAGUGGAACAGAUCAAGAAUAUCCAACGCGCACAACGGGAACCAGGGAUGGGGAUCAAGGGUUGAGUUUGUCCCACGGUUUAGCGGGAUGAAGUUAGAAGAUGUUAUGAGGGUAACAGUUAUGCAAGAAAUGCAAAGAUUAGGAAUGUCUGCAAAUGUACCUCUUGAUCUUUCGAAACGAAAUAAGUGAUUUAUGUUGCAAAUUUGCAAGUCAUGAUGCACAAACAGUUUAAGUGAGAAGCAACAACUUUGCUGUAAAAAAAGCAGAACUACUUUUAAAUUUUUUAAAUGCCAAAACUGUUUCUUUAAUUAGUAGCAAGAUAAAAAUUGAUAAGUUU